UGGGGAAUAUUGCACAAUGGGCGCAAGCCUGAUGCAGCCAUGCCGCGUGUGUGAAGAAGGCCUUCGGGUUGUAAAGCACUUUCAGCGAGGAGGAAGGUGGUGAGCUUAAUACGCUCAUCAAUUGACGUUACUCGCAGAAGAAGCACCGGCUAACUCCGUGCCAGCAGCCGCGGUAAUACGGAGGGUGCAAGCGUUAAUCGGAAUUACUGGGCGUAAAGCGCACGCAGGCGGUUUGUUAAGUCAGAUGUGAAAUCCCCGGGCUCAACCUGGGAACUGCAUUUGAAACUGGCAAGCUAGAGUCUCGUAGAGGGGGGUAGAAUUCCAGGUGUAGCGGUGAAAUGCGUAGAGAUCUGGAGGAAUACCGGUGGCGAAGGCGGCCCCCUGGACGAAGACUGACGCUCAGGUGCGAAAGCGUGGGGAGCAAACAGAUUAGAUACCCUGGUAGUCCAGCGCUGUAAACGAUGUCGAUUUGGAGGUUGUGCCCUUGAGGCGUGGCUUCCGGAGCUAACGCGUUAAAUCGACCGCCUGGGGAGUA
rnacentral:rRNA from 1 species